CGGAGGGCAGCAGGCGCGCAAAUUGCCCAAUGUCAAAAAAAAACGAUGAGGCAGCGAAAAGAAAUAGAGCCGGCAGUGCCACUGGCAUUGCCGUUUUCAAUGGGGGAUAUUUAAACCCAUCCAAAAUCGAGUAUCAAUUGGAGGACAAGUCUGGUGCCAGCACCCGCGGUAAUUCCAGCUCCAAAAGCGUAUAU
rnacentral:rRNA from 1 species